AACCAAGGCCAUACCACUCUGAAUACACCUUAGUCUCCUGUGAUCUCGAAAGCUAGGCAGGGUCAGGCCUGCUUAACACUUGAGUGGGAGAGUGGUAAAGGAUCCAGAUCUGGAGGUUUAGGGGGUGGAUU
rnacentral:rRNA from 1 species